rnacentral:rRNA from 1 species
UACGUAGGUGGCAAGCGUUGUUCGGAAUUAUUGGGCGUAAAGGGCGCGUAGGCGGCUUGUUAAGUCGGCUGUGAAAGCCCGGGGCUCAACCCCGGAGGGUCAGCCGAUACUGGCAGGCUAGAGUACGGGAGAGGUAGCUGGAAUUCCUGGUGUAGCAGUGAAAUGCGUAGAUAUCAGGAGGAACACCGAUGGCGAAGGCAGGUCUCUGGGCUGACACUGACGCUCAUGCACGAAAGCGUGGGGAGCAAACAGG